rnacentral:misc_RNA from 1 species
GUGAAUCAUCGAAUCUUUGAACGCAAAUUGCACUCUCUUCGGAGAGUAUGCCUGUUUGAGGGUCAGCCUAAAAAAAAGCGACGUCUUCACUGUUUCGCGGUAACAUUUGUCGGAUGUUGGGUCAUCUUAAACCUUUGGGUUUUUUAAGCGGCUUAAACUUUUCUUUACGAUUCCACGAACGUUUCUAAGAUUUUACUUCUUACACACGUUUAAGGUAGCGAUCUUUAUUAGACGUGUCCGUUGCAUCGGAUCGCCUUCAUAAAUAGUUCGUUAACUGACCUC